UUUCUGAAGUGUUCACGGUGUAAUAAGAUACAGUGGAACCUUUGAGGACAACGGCAAAUUUGUUUACAUUUGGAAAACACUUUUUUUUUCCCCCUGAGGAGAUAAUGGAAAUAGAAAUAAUCCGCUCCAAAAUGUGGCCAGGCAAAGUAUGUAGAGGAAAUACAAUAUGUAAUUUAGUGUCUCUCCGCGAUAAAUUAUAUGUAGUACUAAACUGUGGAGAUAAAAUGGUAAAAUGCUAAAAUCACCAUCUCAGUGUUCCUGAUCUUAGCGGGCAAGGCUAAAAUGGGGCCCAGUGACGUACUUGGGGUCCCGGCGUGAGUCGCCUGUCCCACACUAUGUAAGAACUCGAGAACCUUUGUCCGCAUCAAUGAUUAUCCGACACAAUUGAGAGUUACUUAUUAUUACUAGACCUGUUUCUACUCCUACAGUCUGUAGUAAGCUAGCUAUCCACGCCUCCCCCAAUGCUACAAUUACAAAACGGUAUGGUGUCAUUAUUUAAAUUCCCAAGUGAGGACUUGAUGCCGAAGAUGAGUCCGCCACCUUUCCGUCAGCCGAGAUGUACCCCGGAAGUCUUUUAGCUUGCGAGCUAACUGGUGGCUAACACUUCUGGAAAUCCCAGCGAUGACUUGGUGGAUAUUGCAUUCACCAAAGGCUUUAAGUAGAUAUGUUUUACUGGUCAAACGAGUAGCUACAACAAAGAUAAGAGACUUAUUGUAUUUGAUUUGAUGGUUGAGCAGGGCAUGGUUUCAGCAAGAACAGUUUGAUCUCACAUGACUUUAAAUCCUUAGUUUCUCUGACUCUUACACAGAUGCGAGAUAAUUCCUUAACAUUGAGCUUUAGAGCUUCCACUGUCUCCUCACUUGAUUUGACAUGAAUGUCACGUGUAAAAUCCAAUUAUGAAAUGCUUAACAGCAGCCACUUGAUCCUUUCAACUGAUGUUAUGUUGCAUUCAAAGAGCCCAACUAACACUCCACAGCCGCUCCAGGCAGGUUUAGAGUUAACUUUCCACACCGCUGGCACCUUUUCUUGGGUGCUUUUGUCUUGGGCAGACUGUCACUUUUUUAUGCGUUCUACUUCUCUCAAGUCUCACCUUUCAAAUUUCCCCACCUUCCACCGCCCCCUCGUCUCACAUUUAAACCCUCCUGGCCAUCUUUGCUCAUAGCAGUAGCUUUGGUAAUCAACAUACGAUGAGGUCAAGUCCCGUCUGGUGAUAAACUACAAGUGGGUGUAGAACGUCAGAUCAUACGUUUCUAAAUAUAACAUCUAAAUGUAAUCGGCUCCAGUCGGUUAAGCUCAGUUAGAGACAAAGUGCUUAAAAGGGAAAGGGGAAAAACAAUAACAAAAAAAAAACACUUACAAAAGGUGUGAGGAAGCCAAACCCUAAGCAGAGUUAACAAAUGGACACUGGGGUUGGCGUCUGGAAGGCUUGUUGGCAGCCGUGCCAAAGUGGUUCACGGCUAAAGUAUGUUCGCCGUUAGUUUCCAGGCCUGACGGCCAAACGUCGAAGUCCAUAAAAGUCUUCAAGGAGGGGAAGAGAAGGAAGGUGGGGGUCAAGAAACAGGGAGAUAGGAUGACAUUUCAAACAAGUCAAGCUUUUCCUUGGUAUGAUCAUUAUCAUUAUUAACGAUCACAUCCAGGAAGUAAAUACGCUCAUAUACACUUACUGGACACUGAACACACCAAAGAAAAUAAUGCUGUAUUUGUAUUAAAGCGUAUAGAUGGGGAGAUGGACUGAUAAAGUGGUAGACAGAAAGAUGUGUAUGUGGCAGAUAGGUUGCUUGGUAGAUAGCUAGUGAUGUACUAAGUAUUUAGACAAACAGGUAGAGCUAUAGAUAGACGGAUAGAUUUUUAGAUAGGUGGAUGGAUGAAUGCGUAGCUAAAUGAAUAGAUGUGUAGGUUGUUAGCCAGCUCGCUAGCUACGUAUGUAGAUGGUAGCUACUGUAGGUAGCGGUGGUAGGUCGCUAGCUAGCUAGCUAGGAAAAUGGAUAGAAGCUGGGGAAUGGUAGCUAGGCAGACGCAGAUGAAUAGAAAAGGAAAAAUGCACAUGACUAAAAAAAAAGUACAGGCUUACAUUCCUCCCCUGAUAUUUUGGGGGAAUGUAUUCAUGAUUUAUUGGACAGACGCAGUGAGGUUGUCAAAACAGAAAAUUCUCCCCAAUGUUCCCCAUUGUACUACCCACCAAAAAUCUGAAGCUGGUAACCUCACUGUCGAAUGAGAUCCAAGACAAGAGAUGUAUCAAAAAUGCU